rnacentral:lncRNA from 1 species
AGUACAAAUCUUUUUUAUGAUAUUGGGCAUUUAUGCUCAAUCUCUUUUCUGUUAAUAAUUUUUCUUAUUUGAUUAUUUUUAAAAAGAAAAAGAAAACAAAUGUCUCUUUGUCCAGUGUCUGGUUCCAGAUAUUUUACUUUUAAAUGUUUACCUAAGGAAAAAAGAAUGAGAUUGCUAUUUGCCAAGCCUGGAAGGAUAGAAUUUGCUAUUUGUUUACGGAAGCCAUUGGUGCUACUGCCUUACCUGCUACCCACUGCCCUACGCAACCACUUUCUCAUUCUUCAAAAGUUUCACUGACAUGAACCUCACUUGUGGGUGCCAGGUUAUGACCACAUGCAUAGUUUCAUCUUCAUCUUAUGCAACAUUUGGGGUAAAAGGAAGGUUAUGUGGUAACCAGUUUAUGACUUGAACUAUAGGCAAAGAUUGACCAGACCAAGCCCUGAGACACAGUGUUGAGAGCCAAGACAUAAAGUUGUGAAGAUUCAGACCCAGAGCCCAGCAGGGUACAGGCUGGAGGGGUGAUGUGAGUGAUCAGUAACACCAUGAAGACUCUGCUCCUGGGUCAGGAAUGCUUUUUUGUCCCUGUUUUGGAUUUUCCACCAUGAACAGGAAGAAAUCUAAAGGUGAAGGAAAGGCAGCGUUCAGCACUGAGCAAGUCCAUGUUGGAGAAAGUUCACAGGGAAUUGGAAAUCCUUGUCUUCGUGGUUCCUGGCUCAGCAGGACCCCUGUGGGGCCUCUCCCUCUCUUGGGAAAGAGACUGCUCUAGAAGGUUUACUACACCAGUGAGGAGAAGAUGAGCGCAAGGGGGAUUGGCUGGCUGAGGGCGAAAUCAAGACUGGAGCCAAGUGCGCUGAGCUCUCACAUGAGGUCCUUUGCUCCUGUUCCCUGGAGGCAUAAGUGGCUGGGGUAGAGAGAAGCA